rnacentral:rRNA from 1 species
GGGGUCUGGAUUAAGCCAUGCAUGUCUAAGUACAAGCCGACUUAAGGCGAAACCGCGAAUGGCUCAUUAAAUCAGCUAUGAUUCAUUGGAUCUGUACCCACACUUACUUGGAUAACUGUGGUAAUUCUAGAGCUAAUACAUGCACCACGUCUCUGACCGCAAGGGAAGAGCGCUUUUAUUAGUUCAAAACCGGUCGGGCCUCGGUCCGUCACCCCACCGUGUUGAAUCUGAAUAACUUGUCGCUGAGCGCACGGUCUCUGCACCGGCGCCGCCUCUUUCAAGUGUCUGCCUUAUCAGCUUUCGAUUGUAGGUUAUACGCCUACAAUGGCUAUAACGGGUAACGGGGAAUCAGGGUUCGAUUCCGGAGAGGGAGCCUGAGAAACGGCUACCACAUCUAAGGAAGGCAGCAGGCACGCAAAUUACCCACUCCCGGCACGGGGAGGUAGUGACGAAAAAUAACGAUGCGAGACUCAUCCGAGGCCUCGCAAUCGGAAUGAGUACACUUUAAAUCCUUUAACGAGGAUCUAUUGGAGGGCAAGUCUGGUGCCAGCAGCCGCGGUAAUUCCAGCUCCAAUAGCGUAUAUUAAAGUUGUUGCGGUUAAAAAGCUCGUAGUUGGAUUUCAGUUCUGGACUGACGGUUCACCGCCCGGUGCACACUGUCACGCUCCGAACAGCCACAACAGCCCGCUGGCUCGCACGGGGUGCUCUUCAUCGAGUGUCCCGCGUGGCCGGCAGAGUUUACUUUGAAAAAAUUAGAGUGCUCAAAGCAGGCUACACUUACUGGCCCGAAUGCCUAUGCCAUGGGAAUAAUGGGAAUAGGAACCUCCGUUUCUAUUUUUGUUCGGGUUUUCUGAAACCCGAAGUUAAUUGAACUAAAUAAGGGAGCAGGGGCGGGGGGGCAUUUCCGUUUUUUGGCGGACCGCUUUGAAGGUGGAAAUUUCUUUGGACCCGUCGCACGACCGAACUUACUGCCGAAAAGCAUUUUUGCUCAAGGGAAUGGUUUUUUCUUUUAUUCCAAGAAAACAAAAUAGAAGGGAAGGGUAGAGAG